AUACUUACCUUGAUUGGGUACACCUGGAUCAAGAAGCAGGGGUACCAGGGCGAUAGGCCUGCAUUGCACAUCGUGGAGCCGGUCGCCUUGAAUUGUCCUUCGGGGCCGUUCCGGUCGUAAUUUUUGAUAUCCAACCUAUUUUUCGCUGUGUGCUCGG
rnacentral:snRNA from 15 species